rnacentral:lncRNA from 1 species
CUUUGUUCUCUUGGCCCAUUCUCCUGGGUUCCGGGGCCCUUCUCGGGGUCCUUCUCGGGGUCCAGGGCACCAAGAGGAGGGGCUGUGAGCUCCGCCCCUGGGGAAGGCCAUGUCUUGAUGCUGCCCAAGAAGCCACAUCUUGUGCACAUCUGGUGCAGGGGAUCCUUGCACCAGGCUGGGCAUGAGCCAAGGUUCUCUUCCACGAGCGGAUCCUUUUCCAAGUGGGAACGCCUGGAGAGCCAGGGACUUGAAUCUUUUGGGGGUCUGGCCAAGUUGCCCGGAUUGAGCUGGAACUUGCUGCAGGAAAAAUAGGCCACAGAGAAUGGUAUCUUACUGAUGUGCAGAUAUCAGAGGAGUCAGAACACACUGAAGACAGCCCAGCUCUGGGCGACAGCCUAUCCCAGAGAGGUUGUCCCUCAACCCAGCCACUAGUACCACCCUCCCCACGAGGCACCCUGGUCACUGGCUGAGGGAGGGUCUGUGGCAGCUCCGGCCCGCGCUCAAUACCCUGUAGCAGUAACAAAUGUGUGGCUAUGAAUGCGGAUGGCAGUCUCAGGGUACCUGUGUUCCUGCAUGUUUAUGGACGCAUCCAGGACCAAAAAAAAAAAUCAACUUUUUUUUUUCCAAACAAUAACAACAAAAUGAAUGAUUACGAUAGGAAAGGGAAAAAUUAAAUAGCUAGAUAUCGUUAACAAAUUAAUUGUUCUGCAAAAGUAUGUUUUAAAGUUAUCAUCACUAUCUAGCCCAGGCUUCAAACUCAGGAUCCUCCUGGCUCAGCCUCCCAAGUGCUGGCAUUACAGAUGUGUGCAUCAUGCCUGGCUUUAAUUUAUUUUGAAAUGUCAAAUGACAUUAAAGGAAGCUGAAACGCAAACCACCACCCUGUACUGAUUGUUUUAGUGUCUAUAGCUCCAACAAGAAUAUAGUGCUUGGGUCUCACCUCCUGUCCGGUUCUCAGCCUCAAACAACAAUAACCCCUUACUGCCUCUGAAUCCAUUCACACCCACCCCAGCACAGUGCC